UCCUACGAGAUGCGUCCACACUACUAUGCUCUUCGUCCUAAGUUUAACACAGAAGUUACCGAUGUGCCACGUAUUCCUCAGCGUUUGCACGUUUACAAGGUUUCCUUUUCCUUCACCCCUCUUCCUUCCCCUUCAACCCUUCUGCCUGAAGAAGGAGCCACUGACUCUGAAAGCUUGCCAAUUACAACCAUCUUUUGUGCGUGAUUUCUGCUGUCGCUUGAGAGGCAGAAUGGAAGACUAGAAGAUGUAACAGAUACACAGCAGCAUAGUAGUAGCCCUAAAGUGAUCAGAAAGUGUGCGCGGUGUAUGCAGUGAAAAGAGUGGAGAAACUUAACUGACACUGUAUAAUUUAUAUUUCAUUUUAUUCAGCUAACUUUUCCCAUACAUGUAUGCAAACAAGAGUAUUGUACAUUACGCAUAACCAAAGGAGACAGAAGAUUAGAUGGGCAGACUGGAUAAUCAAAUUGUUGACAAAAGAAAUUUAUGAGAACUUGACUAUAAGAAAUGACUAGUUGAUAGCACAUAUUUGGAGGCACCAGUUAAUUGUCAGUUUGGUAAUGGGAGUGAGCAUGUGAGGUAAAAACUGUAAAGGGAUGCAUAUGGUAAACAGGAUCAAAUGGAUGUAGGUCACAUUAGUUAUGCAGAGAUGGAGACAUGCUCCCUAGCAUUGAGUGCUGCAUUAGAUCAGCCUUCAGACUGAAAACAACGACGAUGAUGAUGACAACACAGACAACGACACAUACGACUAAACUUUUCGUUGUAUAAGGCUGACAAAUCAUCUAUCAAUGUAAAAUGAUAUUUGAAUGAAUACAUUACUACUACUGUGGUGGUACAAUGAAUGGUAGAAGUCUAAUGAAGCUAUUCACUAGAUUUCAAGGUAUAAGAAUAGACUGAGACAAUGACCACAUGGAAAGGAGAUACUUGACAUAAGAAAACACACAAGGAGCAAAAUGGAUACAUUUGGCUGAAGACUGUAUUAUGUGCAGUAAUCUGGAGGAGGCCUUUAGCCAGCAGUGGUUGUGAAAUGACUGACUGACUGAUGAUCGACAUGCGGAAACUGAGAUGCAUAAACCACAUGCCUUUCUUUUUUUAAUGCAUUCUACUGAAUUCUUAU